rnacentral:rRNA from 1 species
UGGGGAAUAUUGCACAAUGGGCGGAAGCCUGAUGCAGCGACGCCGCGUGAGGGAUGACGGCCUUCGGGUUGUAAACCUCUUUCAGCAGGGACGAAGCGAGAGUGACGGUACCUGCAGAAGAAGCGCCGGCCAACUACGUGCCAGCAGCCGCGGUAAGACGUAGGGCGCGAGCGUUGUCCGGAUUUAUUGGGCGUAAAGAGCUCGUAGGCGGCUCGUUGCGUCCAUCGUGAAAACUCAGGGCUUAACUCUGAGCUUGCGGUGGAUACGGGCGGGCUAGAGUUCGGUAGGGGAGUCUGGAAUUCCUGGUGUAGCGGUGAAAUGCGCAGAUAUCAGGAGGAACACCGAUGGCGAAGGCAGGACUCUGGGCCGAUACUGACGCUGAGGAGCGAAAGCGUGGGGAGCAAACAG